rnacentral:SRP_RNA from 1 species
GCCGAGUGCAGUCGUGUUCUCAGAUGCCUGUAGUCCCAGCUACUCGGGAGGCUGAGACUAGAGGAUGGCGUGAGUCCAGGAGUUCUGGGUUGUAAUGUGCUGUGCCGAUUGGGUGUCCGCACUAAGUUCGGCAUCAAUAUGGUGACCUCCCGGGAGCGGGGGACCACCAAGUUGCCUAAGGAGGGGUGAACUGGCCCAGGUCAGAAACGGAGAAGGUCAAAACUCCUGUGCUGAUCAGUAGUGGGAUCAUGCCUGUGAAUAGCCACUACACGCCAGCAGCCUGGGCAACAUAGCGAGACUCUGUUUCU